AUCCCAUGAUGAGGAGAGUCUUCAAUGUAAUUCUGGAAUCUUUCUCAUGCUUCAGUGAAUGAUUCAUGAUGUUGUUGUUGGAAACUUGCAAUCUUCCUACAUAGAGCAU
rfam:Sorghum bicolor cultivar BTx623 chromosome 10, whole genome shotgun sequence.